rnacentral:rRNA from 1 species
AUUGAACGCUGGCGGCAUGCCUUACACAUGCAAGUCGAACGGCAGCACGGGUGCUUGCACCUGGUGGCGAGUGGCGAACGGGUGAGUAAUACAUCGGAACGUACCUUAUCGUGGGGGAUAACGCAGCGAAAGCUGUGCUAAUAUCGCAUACGCCCUGAGGGGGAAAGCGGGGGAUCGCAAGACCUCGCGCGAUUAGAGCGGCCGAUGCCUGAUUAGCUUGUUGGUGGGGUAAAAGCCCACCAAGGCGACGAUCAGUAGCUGGUCUGAGAGGACGAUCAACCCCACUGGGACGGAGACACGGCCCAGACUCCUACGGGGGGCAGCAGUGGGGAAUUUUGGACAAUGGGGGCAACCCUGAUCCAGCAAUGCCGCGUGAGUGAAGAAGGCCUUCGGGUUGUAAAGCUCUUUUGUCAGGGAAGAAACACCGGCUCUAACACAGUCUGGGAAUGACGGUACCUGAAGAAUAAGCACCGGCUAACUACGUGCCAGCAGCCGCGGUAA